GGAAUAUUGGACAAUGGGGGAAACCCUGAUCCAGCAAUGCCGCGUGGGUGAUGAAGGCCUUCGGGUUGUAAAGCCCUUUUGGCGGGGACGAUGAUGACGGUACCCGCAGAAUAAGCCCCGGCUAACUUCGUGCCCGCAGCCGCGGUAAUACGAAGGGGGCUAGCGUUGUUCGGAAUCACUGGGCGUAAAGCGCACGUAGGCGGAUGUGCCAGUCAGGGGUGAAAUCCCGGAGCUCAACUCCGAAACUGCCUCUGAUACAGCACGUCUUGAGUUCGAGAGAGGUGGGUGGAAUUCCUAGUGUAGAGGUGAAAUUCGUAGAUAUUAGGAAGAACACCGGUGGCGAAGGCGGCCCACUGGCUCGAUACUGACGCUGAGGUGCGAAAGCGUGGGGAGCAAA
rnacentral:rRNA from 1 species